rnacentral:lncRNA from 1 species
ACACGAUGGCCUUGAUUAUAUUGUCUUAUUGUUUUGUUUUUGGUUUCCAAUAGUAUCCUAAUUCCUUGUUCAUGUAACCUAAUGUCACUCAAAGCAUUUUAUAUGCCUCACUUAAUUAAAUAAAUACAAAGGCAAAGGCAUGUUAUGUUUUGAUCUAAUUGGAAUAUCAUAGGUCAAACCGAUCUAUAAAAAGAAUGGCAAAGAAUCUUAUAUAUAGAUAUGUUCAAUGUGCAAAUAUGAUCAAAUACUGAAAAAGUUGAUACCAAUAUUAGUUGUUGUUGAGUUUCUCACAACAUUUUGAGUAAAUCUCUUGAAAAGCAAAACGUGAACGAUAUGGUAGAACCCCACCGUAAUAUAUCGUGGUGUAUCAAUGGUCUUUAUGUAGCCAUGUCUAUCACAAAAUGGCCUUGAUUAAAUUAUCUUAUUGUUUGUGUUUUGGUUCCACAAGUAUCCUAACUUCUUAUUCAUGUACCCUAAUGUCACUCAAUGCAUUUUCUAUGACUUACUUAACUAAAUAAAUACGAAGGCAAUGGCCUAAUUUUUACGAUAUAAUUGAAAUAUCAUAGGUUGGUAUACAUCCCAAAAUUUCUAAUUUUAUGUUGCAAAUAUAAAACAAUAAAAACAAUUUUAAUCUUUUUAUACAACUUUUCAAGAUUAGAUUAUAGGUGCACAUGUUUAGGUAUAAUAAACUAUUUUUUUGUUUCAAACGAUAAUAACAUGUAAAAACGUGAUAAUAGUACGAAAACUGCGAAUGGUGCAUUUUGACCAUCAUAGUAGCCUCUCUGUAGCUCUGUGUUUUUCCAAUGUUAAUGAUCAUGCACACACCCACUUAUAUGUUGGUUGUUAUCCACCUAGAUGAGCAAUGUGAUACUGUCACACUCGGAUUUAAGGACAAAUCCAGAUGCAUCUCAAAUGUGUGCUAGGAUCAAGUACCAUACAUAUGAUGACUCAUGGUACAUAAAUCAAUGUCACAUCUUUAUUAUAUAAUAGAAGUUCUAUACAAAAUAACUAUAUAAAUACAUCAUAAGAUGACUAAGAUCUUCCACAACUAUAGCUGAUUGGGAGACGAUGACCUGGACCCCUCCGAACUCAUCUUAGCAUCUUUCGGGCUCCUCAUCUUGUGGUACCUGUUCUUGACCUGGUGUGAUUAUAGCAAGGGUGAGCUCCAUAUGGUCAUCACAUAGCAAGUGUGGGGAAAAGUAUAGUGUAAGGCUUACCAAAGAAAAUGGUUAAGGAUGAGCAUUGCUUUUAAUUUUGUUGGUCCAAAUUUUAUUAGCAAUUACUAAGUAUAAGUGAAUACCAACCCAAUUAAAUAAUUGAUAAGAAAUAAAUACCCACAAUGCAUGGAGUUGUAUUUUGAGAAAACCAAGGAGAUAUGAUUACCUUCUUGCACUACUAGUAUAUCAAAUUGCAGAUGUAUGUAUAUUAUUUUUGUAUCUAGAUCUUUCCAUGUGAAGGGCAAGCCUAGUGCGUUGGUGACAGCUGUCCCACUUAGUCGCCAAGUUGUAAGUUAUUGACCAUUUCCUUAUUUAAUAUUAUGAUCUUAGAUUUAUUUGUUCUUAAACUGUAUUUGUUUCAAGCCUUGAACUGGUCACAUCCAUUGUAACCUCAAGUUUAUAACACCGUUAAUUUACAAGACAUAUGGAUAAUAUUAUGCAAGUUGUUGCUUCUCCAGCAAGUCUGAUGCGUGUGGCUUUGGCAUGUUGCUGAUUUAGUUUCCAUAUUUAGCAAUUUAGGGACUAAAGUGGAAUAAAAUGGACGGACUAAAAAUUAGUCCCUAGAAACCAAACACCCCCUAAGUUAUCUGGUUUAUCAUGAAUGUAGCGCCAAAAACUACUAAACUUCAUUUUUUAUCUAAGUGAGGGGCAGCACAUGUCAGCGUCAACCGGUAAUCACUGUCUAUUUCAAGGUGGCUCGAUGGUAGAUCAUCCACCAAUGAAUAAUGUUAGCUAGCGACAACACUAGGAGAGUGGAGGUGACCAAUUUUGGGUUGCCCGGUGACUCUGCUAACUCGGGCAGGUACUGACUGGUCUCAUUACUCGCAUGUCUGGACGAUAUCCGAUGACUCUAGCUAAAAAUAUACAAAUGUUUGCAUGUCUGCCACACGACACUUAAAUCUCUGGUCUCCCGGCAAAAAAUGAAGAUCAAACUAGCAAUUAGAAAUUGUACGUUCACAACAAUUAACAUCACCCGUAGCCCGUGAAGUUCUCUUCUCCCCAUAGUUUAUUUACUUGUCUUCUAUAUAAAGGGCUAUAAAAAGUUGAGCAAAGUCAUCCCGUGCCAUUCUAACUAGAAGCAAUACUGAUGGCCCAAAACAAGAUGAUUGUGAUGGUUCUCCUCCUUUCCACCUUUCUUGUGGUGGCAAGAUCGUUGUGGGUUCCAGAAGAACCCUCAAAUGCGGAUGACAUAAGAGGUGCUUGCAUCGAGGAGUGCACCAAAGAAAAUAAGGCUCCUGGCGACAAGAAGACAUGCGAAGUGUUGUGCACCAAGCUCACAAAAAAGCCUAGCGAAGAAGGCAAACAUGAUUGAUGAAGUAGAACUCCGAUAAUAUAUACACUAGUGGAUCAGUGGUCAUCUUUGUAGCCAUGUCUACCACACGAUGGCCUUGAUUAUAUUGUCUUAUUGUUUUGUUUUUGGUUUCCAAUAGUAUCCUAAUUCCUUGUUCAUGUAACCUAAUGUCACUCAAAGCAUUUUAUAUGCCUCACUUAAUUAAAUAAAUACAAAGGCAAAGGCAUGUUCUGUUUUGAUCUAAUUGGAAUAUCAUAGGUCAAACCGAUCUAUAAAAAGAAUGGCAAAGAAUCUUAUAUAUAGAUAUGUUCAAUGUGCAAAUAUGAUCAAAUACUGAAAAAGUUGAUACCAAUAUUAGUUAUUGUUGAGUUUCUCACAACAUUUUGAGUAAAUCUCUUGAAAAGCAAAACGUGAACGAUAUGGUAGAACCCCACCGUUAUAUAUCGUGGUGUAUCAAUGGUCUUU